GUUGCUUUCUUUAUACUGCUUUUAUCCAUGAAUUAUAAAAGAGAGAUAAUUAUUUAAGGAGAGUUAUGUCUUAUAUAAGAGGUAUAUAGAUGACCUGAUGAUUAUUUAACACUAAGAUCAAGGAAUUUGAAAAGGUCUUCACAAGUAGAAAUUAUGGGCUUAAGUUAAAGUUAGACAAAAGAAGCACUUCAGAAAUCCAUUGUCUAAGUGUAGAAAUCACUAAGACAACAGUGAACUAUGACACUAAAGUUUACCAAAAGCCCAACAUAAGAAGGGUAGUCAUUCCUAGAUGGUCUCCAGAUCCCUCUAAAUAUGAGGAGGCAGCAUUUGGGACAUACUUUAAGAGGAUCUCAUUCCACAGUACCACAAUUGAGUCCUUAAGAGAUAAGAAGAACAUAUGAGACAGGACUUAGACACGGUACACAAAAUCUUACAUGAGGGUGUUACAGAAGACAGCAGAAAAGAAGAUUAAAGAAGUAUCUAAUACAGAUACAGAUAGAGACAUUACAAAAAGACCAGAGGAAACCAGAAUGGAGUCUAUCACAUACCGUAUAUCAAAGAGUGAUAUAAUCAGAAAGGCCAUUAAGAGAGAGAAUAGAAAACCAGUGAGUACCAAUAAUAGAUAUAGAAAUAGGAGAAAAUAAAGAGUACAUAGGGGAGACAAAACGGCUGUUAACAAAAAGGCUCAGUGAACAUAAAGUGAAUGUAAAGAAAGGCCACAUAAACAUAGUUCUUGCUAGAAUUGUUUAUGAAAGUAACAUCAAUGUACUGUGGGACAAAGAAAGGAUGAUUAAGAAAAUCACUGAAGGGGAAGAUAGAAUGAUAAUACAAGCUCUCCAGAUGAUGAAAAAUGAAAGAGAAUGAAUGGUCAUCAAUGAUCAUUUUACAGACGGCCCCAAAAACAUGGAUAUUUGCUAUAGAAAAAAUGUAGAUGAAGGAUUCAAAUUUAAAAGUUUAUUAUAAGAAAGCUUAGUUUUUGAUAUUAAUAAUAUAUUUGUUACAUAUGUUAAUUAUAUUUAAU
rnacentral:lncRNA from 1 species